rnacentral:lncRNA from 1 species
CCACAGUCUCAGAAGAGCUCCAUUCGAAUUAAUUCUUUGCAGGGGAGUCAUCUCCCCUCUUCCCUGUCUCUCUCCUUAAAAUGUCACCAGAGAGGAACGCGCACAUGCCUCUGAAGGGGACAGGCAGAGUGGCAUUAUUCAAGAGAACUUCCAGUGCUCUUGUCUUCAAGAGGGUUAUGAGCUACAGGCCAAAAGAGCUCUGCUGAUUCAUCAGGUCCUCUGACCGUUGUACAAUGUGAAGGCACGAAGAAUAACCUGGAUGGUCUCAAGACGGCUAAUACAUUCUUCACUUAAUAAUAAACACGUUAGUCAGGGGAAGUACUGAAUUUCACUUUUCUAUUGCAAACUCUGACUCAUCGCAGAGGCAAGCAAGGAAAUAUUCAAAGUCAACUUUUACCUCCAUCUAGUCUGCUUGGGGUCAUCAAAAGCUAGAUGUCCUGUGAACCAGAUCAUCCAUUUUCACUGCCCACACUAUCCAUUUGUUUUCUUCAAACAGCAUUUUACAAGAAAUGGGAACAAUAGCGAAGACAGGAAGAGGGUAAACCAAACCAUUCAAUUACUCUCGAGUGGUCAGAUCUGCUUACACAGGAGCAAAAGUCUGCAAACGACAGCUUUUCUUCCUGAUCCUUUAAGCACUGCUUUCCGCUAUUUCAACUUUUGACAACAGGUCACUCACACCAUGCUGAAAUCUCUACAGGCAACUUCAGAUGGGUUCCUACUACAACUGAAUAUCAAAGCUGGAGAGGAAGACUGACUCAAGAGAAAAGAGUUUCAGCUGAAAACCAAAGUGAAGGCAAAGGAAAAUGCCACAGUGGAGUUUUGACACUCACUGUGCAUUUAAAUAUCCAUCCAGUCCUGGUCUGUGGCAGAGGGUCCCAUCCUCCUAGCAUGUACGUUGCACAAGGAGCACAAGGACCCACCAUGAUCUCCAUUAUUCCCACCCAGACUAUGAGCUGCCUGAGGACAGGCUUGGAUCUUAUUCCCCACUGUCUAUCACAGUUCCAGAAUAUAGUUGCUACCCAGUCAAUAUCCAUUUAAUGAGUAAAAACUUGUACCAAUUUUCUUGCAUUCCUUCUCCUUUGCAUUAAAUUUUAAUUAAAACAGAUUCCUUUUCAGGCCUGUCUACAUUUUCUGUUGUCAAAUGUUGCCUAAUUCAUACAUGUCUUUUACUGACAUUCCUUCUCUCGGGGGAAAAUGGGAGGAAAGAAAAGAAAAAUUACCUAUUUUUUGGUGGAACUUCUCAAAUCUUGUCUCUUUGCAAAAAGAAGAUGGCCUUUGAACAUCCCUCAGUAUAAAUACUCCAUGUGUAGUAAAAGCACAGAUUUUGAAAAAUCUGUCCCUCUUCAUCAGCACUUCUUGUUCAGUCAUUACUGAAAUAUUUAUUCCUGGGAAGUUUCCCCACUGCAAAUAAUCCCCAUGAGAAGCAGCUUAAUCAGUCACUUGCUUCCCAAGAACGUGGGUGUGUUGCCAACCUCUUCAAAACUGGCUUGGUGCCCUGAUGAUGUUAUAUGUAAAUACAAUUUUAAAGAAAGAAGCUGUUGAAACAGGACAUGUGCCCAGUGUGUGUACAUUAUGGAAGAGUUUUACGUGGCAGUACAAAC